rnacentral:lncRNA from 1 species
UGCUUGAAGCUUUACCUUGAUGACUAAAGUAUUUGCACUACAUUUUCAGUCACUAGUGUAUACAUCUUAAAUAGUAAAAUAAUAUGCGCCUGCGCGGGAUAUGAUUAUUAGUUUCGUUAUUUUUAAUAAAAAGACAUUAAAUCUGUUAAAUCUGGAUAUUGGUUCGGUUUUAAAUUUUUUUUUUUGGUUUUUAAUGUUCUAAAAUAUAACUAUUGUUUUAAAUUAAUAUUCAUUUUAGUUUAUUCGGUUAAAUUGUUUGAUUUUUUUGUUUUUUC